UUUUUUUUUUUUUAGUUUUAUUCAUUUCAAACGGGCCGGACCCGGCCCGCGGGCCGUAGUUUGCCCACGGCUGGUCUAAGCCCAUGAAAAAAUAAUGUCUCAUGUUAGGUUGUCAAACACGGAAAGUAUUAAAAAGGCCCUUCCCCACACUGCUCAGCACUUUGCUUUUUUCAGUCUUAAAAGCCAUUAUCUCACUGUUUCAUCCAAACUUUUGACUUCUCAAUCUCAAGAUAAUUUGUUUCCUGUAGCUCAUUUCUGCCUAAUAGAUGGUUUUCCGAUAUAAAUAAUGGGUAGGUGGGAAGUAUACCUAAACCAAAAGAACAAAGGUGGUCCCCUUCUCUGUGCUAUCAGAUCACCAGCAGUGUUCCAGAAACCUCGAUCAGCGAGUGGCACAGGCAGGUUGAGUGUGGUGAGGGAGGUGCCUGGCAAGGGGAGAGAAUCCAGAUGAACCAUAAUAGAAGGGAAGAGAAUUGAAAGGUAGAAAAAGGCACAUGUUUAUACUUGGAGGAGAUUUAAGAGCUGCCUCUACCAGGCUGUGCUGUGUGACCUUGAGGAGUCAUUUUACCUCUCUGGACUUUGGUGUCGUUUGUAAAAUUGGAAAUAGUGCCCAUCCUCACUGUACAUGAUUGUUGUGAAAAUUAAAUAAAAUUGAAUAUGUUG